rnacentral:rRNA from 1 species
UACGGAGGAUGCGAGCGUUAUCCGGAUUUAUUGGGUUUAAAGGGUGCGUAGGUUGUUUUUUAAGUCAGCGGUGAAAGUUUGCGGCUCAACCGUAAAAUUGCAGUUGAUACUGGCAUCCUUGAGUACAGUAGAGGUAGGCGGAAUUCGUGGUGUAGCGGUGAAAUGCUUAGAUAUCACGAAGAACUCCGAUUGCGAAGGCAGCCUGCUGGACUGUAACUGACGCUGAUGCUCGAAAGUGUGGGUAUCAAACAGG